rnacentral:rRNA from 1 species
GACAGAGGGUGCAAACGUUGUUCGGAAUUACUGGGCGUAAAGGGCGCGUAGGCGGCCUUCUAAGUCGAACGUGAAAUCCCCGGGCUCAACCCGGGAACUGCGUCCGAUACUGGAAGGCUUGAAUCCGGGAGAGGGAUGCGGAAUUCCUGGUGUAGCGGUGAAAUGCGCAGGAUAUCAGGAAGAACACCCGUGGCGAAGGCGGCUCUCUGGUACGUGACUGACGCUGAGACGCGAAAGCGUGGGGAGCAAACAGG